rnacentral:rRNA from 1 species
AGUGAACGCUGGCGGUAGGCCUAACACAUGCAAGUCGAACGGCAGCACAGUAAGAGCUUGCUCUUACGGGUGGCGAGUGGCGGACGGGUGAGGAAUACAUCGGAAUCUACUUUUUCGUGGGGGAUAACGUAGGGAAACUUACGCUAAUACCGCAUACGACCUACGGGUGAAAGCAGGGGAUCUUCGGACCUUGCGCGAUUGAAUGAGCUGAUGUCGGAUUAGCUAGUUGGCGGGGUAAAGGCCCACCAAGGCGACGAUCCGUAGCUGGUCUGAGAGGAUGAUCAGCCACACUGGAGCUGAGACACGGUCCAGACUACUACGGGAGGCAGCAGUGGGGAAUAGUGGACAAUGGGCGCAAGCCUGAUCCAGCCAUACCGCGUGGGUGAAGAAGGCCUUCGGGUUGUAAAGCCCUUUUGUUGGGAAAGAAAAGCAGCAGGUUAAUACCCCGCUGUUCUGACGGUACCCAAAGAAUAAGCACCGGCUAACUUCGUG